GAAUCUUCGGCAAUGGACGAAAGUCUGACCGAGCAAUGCCGCGUGAGUGAAGAAGGUCUUCGGAUUGUAAAGCUCUGUUAUUAGGGAAGAAAGGUUAUAGUAGGAAAUGACUAUAAAGUGACGGUACCUAAUGAGAAAGCCACGGCUAACUACGUCCCAGCAGCCGCGGUAAUACGUAGGUGGCAAGCGUUGUCCGGAAUUAUUGGGCGUAAAGAGUGCGUAGGCGGUCUAUUAAGUCUCAUUUGAAAGCCCAUGGCUUAACCAUGGAGGGUGAUGGGAAACUGAUGGACUUGAGUACAGGAGAGGAAGGUGGAAUUCCACGUGUAGCGGUGAAAUGCGUAGAGAUGUGGAGGAACACCAGUAGCGAAGGCGGCCUUCUGGCCUGUGUCUGACGCUAAGGCACGAAAGCGUGGGUAGCAAACA
rnacentral:rRNA from 1 species